rnacentral:rRNA from 1 species
GAUGAACGCUGGCGGCGUGCCUAAUACAUGAAAGUCGAGCGACCGGACGAGAAGUUUGCUUCUCGGAUGUUACCGCCGGACGGGUGAGUAACACGUGGAUAACCUACCUUUAAGCCUGGGAUAACUUCGGGAAACCGGACCUAAUACCGGAUGAUAUUUUGAACCGCAUGGUUCAAAAGUGAAAGACGGCUUUGCUGCACCUUAUAGAUGGAUCCGCGCUGCAUUAGCUAGUUGGUAAGGUAACGGCUUACCAAGGCAACGAUGCAUAGCCGACCUGAGAGGGUGAUCGGCCACACUGGAACUGAGACACGGUCCAGACUCCUACGGGAGGCAGCAGUAGGGAAUCUUCCGCAAAGGGCGAAAGCCUGACGGAGCAACGCCGCGUGAGUGAUGAAGGUCUUCGGAUCGUAAAACUCUGUUAUUAGGGAAGAACAUAUGUGUAAGUAACUGUGCACAUCUUGACGGUACCUAAUCAGAAAGCCACGGCUAACUACGUG